CAGGGAGAUGAAAGGAGGACUGAUGGUCACCUUUGAAACAAUCCUGCUUGGAUUGGAAAGAAGCAUAAAAGCUAGGUGUUGUGGGCUUGAUAUUCAAUGGCUAUUUCUUGAUAUGCAUGAGAUUUUAAAUUAGCUCACACAGUUUGCUAAUUAUGCCAUAGACCUGGUGGUGUCAGUUUCAGGAGAGGAUGAAGCUAGUCAAAAGCAGCAGACAGUAAAUAACAAGGACUGAGCAGAGAUCUGCUUUAGCAACGUGACCAUCUGAAGGUGCAGAGGGACCUGGGCUCUCAGCAGUCCUUGCUGUCUCCAUCGAGCAAGUGUAGUUGCAGCGACUUGGACGAACCACUCUGUAUACACCAGUGCUUGUUAAAACAUAGGUAUCCCUCCUGUUAUCCUGUCCAAACGAGAAUAUGUAACCUAAAGCAGGCAGUGGACUAUUGGGAACUGAACUGCAAUUGAGAGGGGAAUCAUGAGCACAACUGAAAGGGAUGCCUCUUGCUGUAAAGUUCCCACUGUUGUACGGAUUUUCUUGAGCUGCCCAAAAGUUCUUAGCAUACAAAUCUCCAUAGAGGGAUCAGUCUUGGAGCGAUAAACAUAGCCACCUGAUAUGGCUGCAGAUCCAACUUCUUUAUUUACUUCGGAAUGGGUGUAUCCUAACACUGGGAAGAUGGGAUUCACAAAAUCGUCAGCUGAAGCAUUUUUAAA